UACGGAGGGUGCAAGCGUUGUUCGGAAUCAUUGGGCGUAAAGCGCGCGCAGGCGGCUUUCUAAGUCCAGAGGUGAAAUGCCGGGGCUCAACCCCGCGCGUGCCUCGGAUACUGGGAGGCUGGAGACAGGUAGAGGCGAGCGGAAUUCCGGGUGUAGCGGUGGAAUGCGUAGAGAUCCGGAAGAACACCGGUGGCGAAGGCGGCCCGCUGGGCAGGAAGGCUCGCAAGAGCCGGCUGACGCUGAGGCGCGACAGCGUGGGGAGCAAACAGG
rnacentral:rRNA from 1 species